GACAACGUGGCCGAGUGGUUAAGGCGGUGCCCUGCUAAGGCAUUGUGUUCUGCACGCGUAGGUUCGAAUCCUGCCGUUGUCG
rfam:Batrachochytrium salamandrivorans strain BS supercont1.416, whole genome shotgun sequence.